rnacentral:rRNA from 1 species
GACGAACGCUGGCGGCGUGCCUAAUACAUGCAAGUAGAACGCUGAAGGAGGAGCUUGCUUCUCUGGAUGAGUUGCGAACGGGUGAGUAACGCGUAGGUAACCUGCCUGGUAGCGGGGGAAAACUAUUGGAAACGGUAGCUAAAACCGCAUAAGGGUACAUGUUGCAUGACAUUUGCUUAAAAGGUGCAAUUGCAUCACUACCAGCUGGACCUGCGUUGUUUUAGCUAGGUGGUGGGGUAACGGCUCACCAAGGCGACGAUACAGAGCCGACCGGAGAGGGGGAGCGGCCACACUGGGACGGAGACACGGCCCAGACGCCUACGGGAGGCAGCAGUAGGGAAUCGUCGGCAAUGGACGGAAGACUGACCGAGCAACGCCGCGGGAGUGAAGAAGGUUGUCGGAUCGGAAAGCUCGGUUGUAAGAGAAGAACGAGUGUGAGAGUGGAAAGUUCACACUGUGACGGUAUCUUACCAGAAAGGGACGGCUAACUACGUG